UCCCUGGUAGCUCAGAGGGUAAAGCAUCUGCCUGCAAUGUGGGAGACCUGGGUUCGAUCCCUGGGUCGGGAA
rnacentral:tRNA from 1 species